rnacentral:lncRNA from 1 species
CCGAGGAACCCAAGGCCGAAGCGGUCCCCGAAGAGGAGGCGUCGUCGUCAGUGGCGACACUAGAGAGGGGGGUGGACAAUGGCCGGGCCCCGGACAUGGCACCCGAGGAGGUGGAUGAAUCCAAAAAGGAGGACUUCUCAGAAGCGGACUUGGUAGACGUGAGCGCCUACAGUGGACUCGGGGAGGACUCUGGGGGCAGUGCCCUGGAAGAGGACGAUGAAGAAGAUGAAGAGGACGGGGAGCCCCCCUACGAGCCGGAAUCAGGGUGUGUGGAGAUUCCUGGGCUUUCAGAGGAAGAGGACCCAGCCCCGAGCCGGAAGAUCCAUUUCAGCACCGCACCGAUCCAAGUAUUCAGCACCUACUCCAAUGAGGACUAUGACCGACGCAAUGAGGAUGUGGACCCCAUGGCGGCCUCUGCGGAAUACGAGCUGGAGAAGCGAGUGGAGAGGUUGGAGCUGUUUCCUGUGGAGUUGGAGAAGGACUCUGAGGGCCUGGGCAUCAGCAUCAUUGGCAUGGGAGCCGGAGCCGACAUGGGCCUGGAGAAGCUGGGCAUCUUCGUCAAGACUGUGACUGAGGGUGGUGCAGCCCAUCGGGAUGGCAGGAUCCAAGUGAACGAUCUCCUGGUAGAGGUGGACGGGACGAGCCUGGUGGGAGUGACCCAGAGCUUUGCAGCCUCUGUGCUUAGGAACACCAAAGGCAGAGUGCGGUUCAUGAUUGGCCGGGAGCGGCCUGGAGAACAGAGUGAAGUGGCCCAGCUAAUUCAGCAGACCUUGGAGCAGGAGAGGUGGCAGCGGGAGAUGAUGGAGCAGAGAUACGCCCAGUAUGGAGAAGACGAUGAGGAGACAGGAGAGUAUGCCACCGAUGAAGAUGAAGAACUGAGCCCGACAUUUCCAGGGGGUGAAAUGGCCAUCGAGGUGUUUGAACUAGCAGAGAAUGAGGAUGCACUGUCCCCUGUGGAGAUGGAGCCUGAAAAGCUGGUGCACAAGUUCAAGGAGCUCCAGAUCAAGCAUGCUGUCACUGAAGCGGAAAUCCAGCAGCUGAAGCGGAAGUUGCAGAGUCUGGAGCAGGAGAAAGGGCGCUGGCGGGUGGAGAAGGCCCAGCUGGAGCAGAGUGUGGAGGAGAAUAAGGAGCGGAUGGAGAAGCUAGAAGGCUACUGGGGUGAGGCCCAGAGCCUGUGCCAGGCUGUGGAUGAGCACCUGCGGGAGACUCAGGCCCAGUAUCAGGCCCUGGAGCGAAAGUACAGCAAGGCCAAGCGUCUCAUCAAGGACUACCAGCAAAAGGAGAUCGAGUUCCUGAAAAAAGAGACCGCCCAGCGUCGGGUACUGGAAGAGUCGGAGCUAGCCAGGAAGGAGGAAAUGGACAAACUUCUGGAUAAGGUAGAG